GAGACGCUGGCGGCGUGGAUUAGGCAUGCAAGUCGGACGGUAGGGCUUUAUCGUAAGAUAGAGUUUGAGAGUGGCGAACGGGUGAGUAACACGUAGGAAUCUACCCUUAAGACGGGGACAACCCAGGGAAACUUGGGCUAAUACCGGAUGAGAGUGCGAGAGAUUGCAUUUAAAAGGAUGGCGAAAGUUGUCGCUUAGGGAUGAGCCUGCGGUCUAUUAGUUAGUUGGUGAGGUAAGAGCUCACCAAGGCGAUGAUAGAUAGGCGGCCUUAACGGGUGGUCGCCCACACUGGGAUUGAGAUACGGCCCAGACUCCUACGGGAGGCAGCAGUCGAGAAUAGUCUACAAUGGCCGAAAGGCUGAUAGUGCGACGCCGCGUGAACGAAGAAGCCCUUCGGGGUGUAAAGUUCUUUUAUAUGUGAGCAGUGCUUUCUAUGUGAACAGCAUGGGGAGAGAGAUAUUAGCAUAUGAAUAAGCAACGGCUAACUCCGUG
rnacentral:rRNA from 1 species